GGGCGAUUAGCUCAGCGGGAGAGCAUCCCCUUCACACGGGGAGGGUCACAGGUUCAAUCCCUGUAUCGCCCACCA
rnacentral:tRNA from 1 species